rfam:Cochliobolus sativus ND90Pr unplaced genomic scaffold COCSAscaffold_3, whole genome shotgun sequence.
UCUUCAGUAGUAUAGUGGUCAGUAUUUCCGCUUGUCAAGCAAUUGACAAAUCGCGGGAGACCGGGGUUCAAUUCCCCGCUGGAGAG